GAAUUACAGCAAAACAAUAACCAGGGAAUAAAUCCACCGGGAAGGUGGUUCAGGGACGGUAAGGUCAGGCAGGGUGCCGUAUACAAUCAUCGCCAGAUACUAUCAGUAUAAGAAUUGAGCAGUACAACGAUUGAAUGAAGGAUAGCUGACAGGGAAGUAUUUUUGUCAGGGAAUGAGCAGGGAGCGACCUAUUUAGCAGGAUUGCUAUGACAGCCAACCGGAGAGGGGAGAUUUUAUAUCUCUCCUCUUUUUUUU
rnacentral:sRNA from 1 species